rnacentral:rRNA from 1 species
UGCGAAACUCGAAUGAACGAACGGGGAGAUUCAUCGUUAUUCCGGGGCGUGGCGGCUCAUAUACGAUACGGUCGAUCUCGGUCGUGCCGCACGUUGUGCGUCGUACUACGUUCUCGGACGGCGUGCACUUCUCCCUUAGUAAUACAUCGCGACCCGUUCGAUGUCGGUCUAAGCUACGUUCGGGAGUCGUUGUCUCACCUCUCACGGGGUGAGGCGACGACCGUGACGAUAGCCGACCGGCUGUCGGACGGUAUUCUGUAGGAUCGCGUACGCGUUUAUGCGCGUCCGGCCCGACGCAAGGCGUCCGUCUUGCACUUCCGUCCUGCCAUAGUGCGAGCGGAGGUGCGGCGGGCCUGUCGUCGCAGCCGUGCUGUCUCGGACUGUACGCGUUCCGUGUCUGC